rnacentral:lncRNA from 1 species
UAUGAUCAGGAUUCACAACUUCCACUUGAUAUUAACAAGUUGGCGAAGUCCUUGAGAGCGGAUAUGGAAAUGUUGCAUUCUUUCUCCGAUCAAUGUUGUAUCUACAGAGCCCCUGUUCGACUACGUGAGUCGAAUGAAAAGAUCUUCACACAAUCACACCUCAAGUAGUAAGCCUUGGUCCAAUUCACCAUGGAAAAGAAGAGCUUAAAGCAAUGCAGGAGCACAAAAUAUUGUACUUGCAAGAUUUUCUUGAAGGGAGAGAGACAAGCAUGGAGUAGUUAAUUACAGUUGUACAGGAGAGAGAGACAGAAUUGCGUAAUUGUUCCAUGGAUUUGGAUUGCUGUGUGAUCAAUGCUUGUUUCUUUCAUGUUUUGUUUUUGUUUUUUUCCCUCCAUUAGUAUGCGUAAGUUUCCAGUUAUCAACUAGCACUAUGCUUCAGAAUGUUAUCCUUGAUUAAUAUAAGAUCAAAACAAAUGAUUUGUCAUGCUAUUCCUGAUGACAUGAUUUGAUUUUUAUGCAUAUAGGUACCUGGUACUGUUUUAGACACUAGAAAUCAGAGAGGGAAUUAUGCAGUCGCAGGCAAAUAUUUAAUCAAAAUUUGAAGAAAUAACAUGUUACCAACAUCUAAAGAAUUAAAUGCAGUAUCAGAAUAUCCAGGCUAACUGUUCCUUGCCUCAGCUAAAAUUUGCAGAAUCUGGACAGAGUUCAUGUAUUUUAGUGGGUCAAGAUCUGGAUUAAUAUUAAAAUUAAAAGAAAAUAUAAAACGUGAGGGCAAAACACUCCACAGUGUUUUUCCAGUGUUUUGCCCAUCUCAAAACUACAUGUAUAACCAGUUAUGGGAGGUGCUUUUCUAUUUUCACAUGGAUACAUUAGUCAUAUGGAGAUACAUCCAUUUUUUAAAAUUUUUAUGCAAAAUAAAAUGAUUUCAUUACCUUUAAAAUUAAUUUUUUUUAAAGUUGAAGCUUAAGGUGUUUUGAUAUUUUCAACUUUUUAUGCAAUUUAUAAUAACUAAAUUAUCCCUAAAAAAUAAAAUUUCAUUCAUGAUUAGGGGUGUUUUGGUAUUUUUGUAAUGGAUUUUUUUGAUAUAAUUAGGAUGGUGGAGGGGGCUUCACAGAGAUUUCAAUCUUUUAUACCCAAUAAAAUUACUUAACUACCAUGGCUAUCAAAAAUCUAAAGUUUCCUUGCAUGAGCUUUUUCAUCUUUUACUCUUAGAUUUUUUUUUUUUUGCUGCACUAGCGAGUGGAUGCAACCAGUAUGGGAAAUUGCCUUCUAAAUUAUAAUUCUAUAGCCUUAUAAAUUGCUGAUAUGAGCUAGGCCCAUGUUUCAACCUUGAAAUCUAUGCCUAAUCAAGCCCAAUUGGUCCAAAACUCAUGUCCAGGCUCACUGAGAAUACAUUGGACUCGGACUCAAGCAGACUGGUCCAUGAUUUGGUUUGAUGGUAGCACAUGAACACCUUUUUUAAAUAAAAUUUACUUAUUAAUAAUUUAAAGAUAUAAUUAAAUUAAAACAUUAAUAAAUUAGAGAAAGAAUAUGGUUGUCCCUCCACUACUAAAACAAUAUUUUAUUGGUCCCUCCACCAACUUAAUAUCAUACUUGUCCCUUCAUAAUAAUGUUUUAUUAAAUAACAAUCAUCAGUCAUAAUAAAUAGAUUAAUUUUUUUAUUAAUUUUUUUCUUUAAAAUAAAUGGAGAAAAUAAUUAAAAGGAUAUUAUUAGUGAUUCACUAAGCACUAUAAAAUUUAUCUUAGCUCUUGUUCUUAAGUACAUUCCAAUCAUAAAAAGAAAAAAAAUAUAUAAAGGGAUUAAAUAUCUAUCUAUCACAAUUGAAGGAUAGAGCAGACCGUUUGUAUGACAGUGGGUACAAGAAGAAAACUAGCUGCAAAAACAGAGAUGCUAGUCCAUGGAUUUUUGAAAUAAACCUGCUUCAAGGUUGCCUUCCACUUGUGCCUACGCUUUGUGUGACUUCAGGUCUUCGCAGACACCCGAAAGAAAAACUAUUUUUAGUGACAACAUUUUCUUUGUCGAGGCUGUAAAGAAUAUUUGACACUGCUUCGUCACUGUUUAGCAUAUUUUUCAAAUUCUCAUUACGAGCAAGCACUUCCACAUCAUUAGGAGCACGGACGAGGCAGCCGACGAAAGUAAUAUAUUCACUUACGAAAAUAUACUCCAACCUAUAAUGGCAUUGCUCAAAGGCCUGGAGAUUUCUGAAUAAGAUUUCUGUAGUGUCAUCUAUUUUCAGUUGUGGAAUUUCUAGAAUCCCAUUACUGAAUCUUAUGUCAAAUAGUGAGCCUUUUUCUGGAUUCUUAAACUUCACUCCAGAUUGAUGCAGCUCCGUUGUUGUGGGUGCGCUUAAGAAAGUAGUUUUUCUCGCUGGAACAUGUUGUUCCCUUGGCUGCUGACACUUUCUUAGGAAGUCAGUGAAAUGUAGGACCCCUGAGGAAUCGAUUUUUUUCCAACUGUCCUCUUUUACCCAAUUAGCCCAGAUUUCUUUUAAUAACUCACAGGUAAGUUCAAUGAUGGUACAAUUCGUAGGAUUGGCUUCACAGGAUAGCUCAAACUGAAGAGAUAUGGAAAUAUAUGCAGAGAUUACAUGCAGGAUUCAAGUGCAGAAAUCCUGCAUGGAUCUUCUGCAUACAUCACUCUGUUGAGAGAUCCCCUGCUAUAAUUCUUCAUUCCAUUUACUUCAUGAUUUCCAUAAUUCCUGCAUCAAAUCAUGUAUAUAUAUAUAUAUAUAGUAAGAAUCAAUGACCUGUAAUGUAGUAAUGUAUGAAAUGCCUAUUUAAAGGCACGAACAAUAUACAUAAAUACAAGUUCAGCUUUCCUACACAAACAACUUCUCGAGGAAGAAAAAUGGAAGCUGAUUUUCUAGCAAGCACAUAUCGAACACUACGUCAACAAACUUCCAUGGACGAAAGAAAAUCUGGUCACUACGUCGACUUUCAUAAGACUCUCCAACGCAAUUGAACUUCAGUAAGACCAUAAUAAUGAAGACAGCAUCCAGUAAUUAAGAUCAUUGUUGCGAAGUCUUUCCUACUAAGAUUAAUGGUGUCUGCAUAACAAUCACGCACUUCUGUUUCGUUCUCCUUAAUAAUGUUAAUUAAAUCCUCCACACUUGCCUUGCUCCGCUCAAGAAAUUGUUGCAGGUACAUUAUUUUGUGGUCUUCCGUAGCUUUUAGAUUUUCUUUACCAUGGUGAAUUGGCCCUAUUGAGACCAAUCGAGGUGUAUAUGCCUCUUCAUUUAACUCAAUCGUUCGGGGACUCUAUAGAUGCAGCAUGCCGGGGUGAAAGCCUUCUUGAUCUUCAAUUGCUCCCUCAAAGAAUUGGUUAUCUCAUUGAUAUCAAGUGAAACUUCAUCGCUCUGAUCCAUUAUCUGCUGAUCAGCUACAUUACAAUAUAUGGACUCACUAUUUAGCAUCUUAUUAUCUGGCCCAUGUUGUUUAAUGUCUACCUUUAAAAAUGUGUGUAGAGAUGCUACCCAGUUCAAGAUUCAGAGUGAAAAAAAAGAAGACCCUGCCAAAUGAAACCACCCUUAAAAAAGUAUUUAGGGGUGUUUGUGAAUAUGAUAGUGGUUGAUUUUUAAAGUAUUUUUGACUUAGAAAUACAUCAAAAUAAUAUUUUAUUUUAUUUUUAAUUUUUUUUUUAAUAACAGCAUAUCAAAAUGAUUUAAAAUCAUAAAAAAAAUUUAAACAAAAAUAUUUUUUAAAUUUUACCUAAUCCCUUUGAAACACAAUACCAAACAGAGCUAUUAGUGUCACUAAUAAAUUGUGAAAUAGCUUACAAGAAAAAUCAGGAAUUAAUCGAAAACCUUAUAAUGAUCGAAGUCAAUGCAUGUGGGAUUACUCAAAACAAUAAUUAAAAAGUGCAUGUCAGUAGUUGAACCUAGAAGAAUUUAGCAAAAAUCUAAUUGUUUUAGAGUGAUGAAGGGAGAUGAUUCCUUCUUGGGACUGUUUUGAGGUUUCCAAGAGCAUGAAUGGUUUGAUCAACCUUUGAUGAAGGUGGAAAUCUCAACCACCAUUAAAAGGAAAACAAAAUAAGGCUCAAAAAUCGGUUGCUUCUAUGGACAGCACUACUGUUGUUCUAGGCUGUUUGGGAUUUUGCUGAAUGGUGGUGAUGGUGUUAGGUGCAGGGUUUUGGGUGAAUUUUGAUGGUGCUUGGAGGGUUUUGGGUGGAGGAAGCCAGUGGUUUGUGUGUUUGUUCAGGGAUAAGGCCAGUGGCUUGUGGUGCUAUAUAUUUUGCUGGAAGUGUGUACGGGUGAUUUCCAUGGAGGUUUUCUAAGGAGGUUUUGAUGGAGGAAAAUUCCUCACCUCUUCUUAUUCUACGCAAAAUUCUUCGCCAACCUUUUCUGACUCAGUUCUUUUGGCUGGUGGAAUUAUCUUUUUGGUAUAUUGUUAUGGGAUGGCCCCCAAAACAAAAUGAUACAAAAUAAGUUAUAUAUUAAAAUCUCUUCAAUUAAAAUAAUUAAUAAUGUGCCUUAUCUCCACAUAAUAUGUAUCAAACGAUAUAAAGUAACUAUUAAAAUAAAUAAUAAUUGUAUUUUUUUUUAUUAUGAAACUUACCUAAUAAGUUAUAUAUUUGUAAAAAAAAAUCUAAGAGUUCGUACUCGUAUAAUGUUAAAUACUUAAUUUUUUGGGGGAAAAAAACAAAUUGGUGAGGUUAUGGAAACUGUAACAUAUAUUUGGUAUCUUUAAAUGAUUUAUUUAUUAUAAAAUCACAUUUUAUCAUUAGAAAAAAGUAUGAUAAAGAAAGGUGCAAAUGAUGUUGAUAAUUUUGUUUCUCUUAUGAAAAUUAUUUCUUAAACAAAUUUUAUUUCAAAUAAAAAACAUGGAAAAAUAUUGGAUAAUAUUGAAUCAGAAUUUUAAAAAUCAAAAUAAAAUCAAUGAAGACUCUAUAUUGGUAUUUUCCAUUCUUGAUUUUUUAGACUCAAAUUUUGUGAACAAACAUUGGACAGAAUUUAUUAAUUUUUUCUAUAUGCUCCAAAUCGAUGUGAGAGGUGCAUCUUAAAGAUGGUCCUAGAGAGGGACUUGGUCUCUGUUAACCAACAAACUGUAAACUAUCCAUUUCCUUACGACUAAUUAUUUAUGACAUGAUCUAAGAUGAAAGAAAGCACACGCUGAAGUCUUAAACCCCAUGUCAAGUGCAAGGCAUAGAAUAAAACAAUUUCAGUUUGUAAGAAACAAUCAGAACAAAUUAUACAGUCUCAUUACUUGGAAUUUCCAUUGAAAACAAGGAUUAUGGGUAUUGAGUACAUAGCAACAUGAAAGAAUUGAAAUUGCAGAAGCUAAACUACUUGAAGUAUAGAGCAGACGGAUUGUAUGACAGUCAGAAUCAGAAGAGUAACAGCUCCUGAAACAGAGAUGGCUGCCCAUGGGGUAUUGAAAUAGCUUUGCUUUAAAUUUGCCUUCCACUUGUUCCAUGGCCUUUCGCAGAAUGCAUUCAAAUCAUUAAUGAGACCUGUAAAGUGAAAAUCAUCUCGCGACACUAAAUUUUCCUUGUUGAGAUUGUAAAAUAGUUGUACCACUUCCUCAUUAGAUGAUAGCCAGUUUUCUAUAAUGCGAUUUUCAACAAGUAUUUCCACAUCCUUACAGGCACUGACAAAGAGACCCAUCAAGAAGAUGUAGUCACCAACAUAAUCAUAUUUCAGGUCAUGGCAUUGCUCAAAGGCUUGCAUAUUCCUGAUUAUGAUUUCUGUACCGUCAACUAACUUUAAUCGUGAAAUUUCUAAUCUCCCUUUAUUUCCGUCGAAUUUUACUUCAAGAAGUUUUUUGCUUGAACUCAACACAAACUUGACCCCAGCCUGGUGGAGCUCCUUUACACUGGGUGCGGCUAGAACUUGGAGUUUCUCACUCGGUUUCUGUUUAGUUGGCUGAUGAUAAAUUCUAAGAAGGUCAACCAAAUGUUUGGCUUCGGAGAAAUCUAUUUUCUCCAAAAUGUCCCCUACUGCCCACGAAUCCCAUUCAACUGUAAAGAACCUAUGAGUAAGCUCAAUCACAGUAUAUUUCCGGGAAUUGACGAAUAUACUGGAUAGUCUAUACAACUCCUCGAGGAUGAAGAACGGGAGUUGAUUUUCAAGCAAGCAGAUAUCAGCCUUUACAUCGAACUUCUUCCAUGGAGGAUAGAAAAUGUUGUCUCUGCUUCCUCUGAAGUCUCUGUAAUUCCACUUCAGCAAGAACAUAAUGACUGUCGCACCCGACAUCGCGGCGGCCCUAAAAAAUUUCUCGAUUGUGGAAAAAGAACAGAUUUCUGGCAUCUUGUUCUUUUAGAAAAAAUGUCUUGUUUGAGGAGUCGCCACCUAGUAUUAUGGUCACUAGGAACCCUAACUGGUCAACAGAGAUUCUAUGGUUCGGGACUGGUUACGUAAAAGGAAGAUAUUAGCACCCCUUAAACGUUCUGCCUAAGGCAAACUGCAUUGCUGUUUUGUCUUAAAUUGCUGCUAAAUGUUUAUUAGUUUAUGCUUUGAUCAUUUGUUUAUAAUAUUCCUGACUCUGGCGUCAGUGAAUAUUCGAGCUCGAAUAAUUCCAACUCUGGCGUUGGUAAAAAUUCGUAGCUACGAAAAUUUAGAUCAAUAUUUUUUUAUUCCCUACUCUAGCGCCAGUGAAUAAAUAAAUAAAAAUAAAUUGAUUUUUACGCAUGCACAUAUUUUUUAUCUUUCUAGCUAAAUAAAAUAAAAUACACCGAAUAAAAAUAAUAUAAAUUUAAACCGGUAUUUUUAUUCCUGACUCUGGCGUCAGUGAAUAAACCAGUAAAUUUACAUUAUUUUUAUUCAUGCAUACACAUUUUUUAUUUUUUUAUUUUUUCUACUUUUUUUUUUAUUUUUUCUGUUUUUUUAUUUUUUCUAUAUUUUUUUGGGGCUGGGCCCAGCUCAGCCCACAUGGGCUGGGCUAGACCCAGCCAGCCCAGCCCGGUCACUAGCCCAAGCCAGUGACCCGGCUGGGCAAAAAUCAAAGUAAAGCACGCGUGAAGUGAUUUCACGCGUGCAUGAGCAGAAUAGAGGAAAUGAGUUAGAAUGUGUGAAUUAAAAUUCAAAGUAAACACUAGCCGGUGAAUUAAAAUGAAAAGCGGGGAAGAGGAAGAACUUACCUGGUCUGCUGGAGGCGAAGUUUUCUUGUUCUCUGGCUCUUCUUCGUUUUUGUUCGCCUGGCUUGCUCUCUGAUUCAGGAGACGGAGGCGUGAUGGAUGACCGGCCAAAGCUCUGCUUCGGUUCCCUUGUAUGCUCCUGCGUUGUCCUCUUGUUCUUCCUCUGUUUCGGGUUUUUUUCUUGCUGGUUCUCGGGUUUUUCUCCUCUGUUCUUUUCUCCGGUUUCUGGUUUCUCGUCUGGGUUCAGCUCCCGUUUUUCUUCUCCUUUUCAGUCCAAUUCCCCCAGUUUUUCUUCUUUGUUUGUGUCUCUGCCCAGUCUUCUCCGUUCAAGACGAAGACAAAUGGUGGUAAAAGCACGAGGAUUUGUUGCUGGUUGAGUGACCAGAAGUUUCCCUGGGUUCUGUCUCUCUUCGUCCUCUUUACUGGGUUUUUUUCGUCUGGGAAUUUUAGCCUCCGGGUCCUCCUUUUCUCUUAGUUUUUCCCCUUUUCGGUCGCUCACCGUUUUUUUUUUUUUUUCGUUCUUGGCUUUCUUUUUGUCUGUGUUUUGCUGGGUUUCUUCCCUCUGUCUUGCCCUUGUCCCCUUCGCGAGGUCGCCUUUGCUCCGCUUUUAUAGAACCAGCGGCAACCUUGGUGGUAACGGCUGCCCCCCUCCUAAAUGAUCCGUAACCGACGCAUUUGAAUGAAGAAAACGUCUGCCAUCAUUGCCAACGGACGAAGCGCCUCUGCCUUUAAUGGCAGAGCCGUUGCAGAGUAGAGAGACGGUGAACAGUCGUUGCAAAACGACCCCGUUUUGCUGGCUACGAAUUUGGUCCUUGUGAUUCUUCUAAUUUUGCAAUCAAACCCCCUGCUUAAAAUAUAAUUGGAUCCUUACAUUUCUGCGCGAUUUUCAAGUUGGUCCUUGGAUUUUAAUUUUUGCAAUUUGAACCCCAAUUAAACCCCAAACUUUGCUAUUUCUUCAAUUAAGUCCCUGAUUUCAUUAAUUUAAUUAAAUCCAAGUCCAAUUAAGUCUCAAAACUUAUCAAUUCUCCAAUUAAACCCUUAAUUGGAUUAAUUAAAUUAAGUCCCUGAUUUCAUUAAUUUAAUUAAAUCCAAGUCCAAUUAAGUCUCAAAACUUAUCAAUUCUCCAAUUAAACCCUUAAUUGGAUUAAUUAAAUUAAUUUCAAGCUUAAUUAAGUCUCAAAACUUAUCAAUUCUCCAAUUAAACCCUUGAUUGGAUUAAUUAAAUUAAUUCCAAAGUUUAAUUAAACCACAAAACUUCCAAUCAUGUUGUCUUUAACCCAAAAUUUAAUUCAUUCUUCAUUUAUUUCAUUUUACUUGUUUUUUCAUCAUUAUCAUCAUUUUUUUAUCCUUUUCAGUAAAUAAAAUAAUAAUAAUAAUAAUUAAAAUAAAAUGGUCAAAAAUUAGGUUAUGACAAUGACGAAGGCAGCAUCCAUUAAGAUCAUUUUUAUGAGGUUUUCACUACUAAAUUCAAUGGUUUCAGCAUAGAAAUCACACAAUCUUGUUUCAUUCUCCAUAAUAAAUUCAAUAAAAUCCUCCAAGCUUACCUCGCUCCACUCAAGAAAUUCCCGCAGAUACAUUCUUUUGUGGUCUUUCAUAGCUUUUAGCAUUUCUUCACCAUGGUGAAUUGGUCCUAUGGAGACUACACGAGGUGUGUAGGCCUUUUCGUUCAACUCGCGUAAUCGCUCAGGAACUUUAUAUAUACAACAUGUCUUGGAGAAAGCAUAUGAAAUUUGAAGAUCUUCCUUCACAGAUUUGGCUAAUUUAUCAACAUCAAGUGAAACUUUAUGACUCUGCUCCUGAUUAGUACUUGAUGUUCCACUACUUUCCAUCCUGUCUGUUACUGAAUUGAGAUAACAGCUAGUAUUAGAAAGUUUCGGUGGAAUAUGGAGUACAUGUGAAUCCCAAUAAAACAAAAACUCACUCCAGUUUCAGAUUUGACAAGUUGAACAAGAGAACAAGAAUUAACUAAACAUGUUGACAGUUGCCUCAUUUGCUGCUGAAGAAGAGGUCUUCGAUACUGAGAAGACUGAGAAGUUUUAGUCAAGAUUAGCUAUAAUUAGCAUGUUUGUUACAAAUAAAGCUGUUACAGAACAGCUCUUUGUUUGUUAAGAUUUCAUCAUUAUUUUUCUGUAGUUUGUUAUCAAAACUCUUCUAUAAAAGAGUGAUUUCAUUAAUAAAGAAUUAUGCUUGCAGUCACAAUAACAACAAUUAUUAUAGCUGUCCUAUUUUCUUUGUCUCUAUACUGUUAAACUACUUCAAAUUGGUAUCAGAGCUACAUUUGAUCUUACGGGACCAAGCUCGAGUGAAGAGAGUCACCUGUGAGAAACCUUUUUUUCACCAAACAUACAAACACCAAAGCCUCUUCUUUUUUUUCAAUGGCAUCAAAUAUGUAUUCUCUUGCAUCACCACCAGUAUUUACUGGUGAAAACUAUCAAAUGUGGGCUGCAAGAAUGAAAACAUACUUGCAGGGUUGUGAUUUCUGGGAUGCAAUAGAACAGGAACAUGAAUCCCAACCACUACCUGCUGAUCCUACUAUUGCUCAAAUCAGAAACCAUCGUGAGGAAAGAGCAAGAAAGUUCAAAGCAAAAACAUGUCUCUACUCUGCAGUUUCAGAAGCAAUAUUCCCCAGAAUAAUUGCACUUGAUACAGCCAAGCAAAUAUGGAAUUAUCUUCAAGAAGAAUUCCAUGGUAAUGAGAGAAUAAUUCAGAUGCAGGUAUUGAAUUUGAGAAGGGAGUUUGAGAUACAGAAGAUGAAAGAAACAGAAACAAUCAGAGAUUUUUCUAAUAGAUUACUUUCCAUAGUCAACAAAGUAAGACUAUUGGGAGAAGAUCUUCCUGAUAAAAGAGUUGUUGAAAAAAUUCUGGUGACUUUACCUGAAAGGUUUGAAUAAAAAAUUUCUUCCUUAGAAGAAUCUAAAGAUAUGUCAAAAAUAUCUUUGGCAGAAUUGCUCAAUGCUUUACAGGCACAAGAACAAAGAAGAAUAAUACGGCAAGAGGAGUCCAUGGAAGGAGCUUUUCAAGCCAAAAUGCAUGUUCAGAAAGGAGACAAAGGCAAAAAGAAGAUCAACAAAUACAAUGGAGCCGAUAGCAGCAAAAGAUCUAGAAACUUUCCUCCCUGCCAACACUGUAAGAAAACAAAUCACUUACAGAAAUAUUGCUGGUGGAGACCUGAUAUUAAAUGCAGAAAGUGUAAUCAACUGGGACAUAUGGAGAAGAUUUGCAAAAGCAAAACUAACCUGCAAGAAGAUGAAGCUCAAGUUGCAGAUCAACAAUAGGAGGAGCAGCUGUUUGUGGCUACUUGUUUUGCUAGCAAACAUGCAAGUGAUUGCUGGCUGAUAGAUAGUGGUUGCACAAACCACAUGACAAAUGAUGAAAAUCUAUUCAAGCAACUUGACAAAUCCAGUGUUUCUAAAGUCAGAAUUGGAAAUGGUGAAUAUAUUCCUGUCAAAGGAAAAUGAACAGUUGCUAUUGAAGGAAAUUCAGGUAUAAAACUCAUUUCAGAUGUUCUUUUUGUUCCUGAAAUUGAUCAGAAUCUGUUGAGUGUUGGUCAGCUUCUUGAAAAAGGAUACUCAUUGGUGUUUAAAGACAAACAUUGUUCAAUUUCUGAUCCUGCUGGAUUAGAAAUAUUCACUAUAAAGAUGAAAGGAAAAAGUUUUUCAAUUGACUGGAUGGAAGAGGAGUCUACUGCUUUUCUAAGCACAACAAAUCAGUCAGAAUUGUGGCACAAAAGGCUGGGGCAUUUUAAUCAAGCAACAUUGAUGCAGAUGCAGAAAAAGAAGAUGGUGCAGGGAAUGCCAAAACUGGAUGAAGAAAUCACAGUCUGUUCUUCUUGUCAAUAUGGCAAACAGAACAGACUUCCAUUUCCUCUAAACAAGGCCUGGAGAGCAAUGAAAAAGCUUCAGCUUAUUCAUACUGAUGUUGCUGGACCUCUGAAGACAAUAUCUCUAAAUGGAAGCAAGUAUUAUAUAGCUUUCAUUGACGAUUAUACAAGGAUGUGCUGGGUAUAUUUUCUAAAGUUUAAGACUGAGGUAGCAAGUGUUUUUCUGAAGUUUAAAAACUGGAUUGAAAAUCAAAGUGGUCAUAGAAUUCAGGUUGUAAGAUCUGAUAAUGGCACCGAAUACACAUCAAACAAGUUUGCCAAGUUUUGUCAUGAUGCAGGGAUUGAACAUCAAUAUACUACACCUUACACUCCUCAGCAAAAUGGUGUAAGUGAACGAAAAAACAGAACAAUCAUGGAGAUGGCAAGGUGUUUGUUAUUUGAGAAAGAUUUACCCAAGAAAUUUUGGGCAGAGGUUGUGAACACUGCUGUGUUCUUGUUGAAUAGGCUGCCAACAAGAGCAUUACAAAACAAUACUCCAUAUGAAGCUUGGCAUGGUUACAAACCUUCACUCCAAAAUUUAAAGAUUUUUGGUUGCUUAUGUUUCACCUAUGUUCCUCAGGUAGAAAGAGAUAAACUUGACAAAAAGGCUGAGACUGACAUCUUUGUUGGCUACAGCAAUGUUACAAAAGGCUACAGGGUCUUUCAACCUCAAACAGAAAAAGUGAUAGUUAGCAGAGAUAUCAAAUUCAUUGAAACCGAAAAGUGGAACUUCAAAGAUGCAAGUGCAGGUAUGGAGUUUGUGCAGGAUGUUGAAGACAUUGAUGAAGUACCAGUCAGAGGAACUAAGUUGCUUACAGAUAUUUAUCAAAGCUGCAAUGUAGCUGUGUUAGAACCUGCAGAAUUUGAAGAAGCCAAAAAUGAUCCAAAAUGGAUUGAUGCCAUAAAUGAAGAGCUGAGGAUGAUUGAGAAGAAUCAAACAUGGGAAUUGGUGGACAUGUCAGAGCACAAAAAACCUAUUGGAGUAAAAUGGGUUUACAGAACAAAAUUGAAUGCUGAUAGCACUAUCAACAAACACAAAGCUAGAUUGGUGGUUAAGGGUUAUGCACAGAUUUUUGGUGUUGAUUUUUCAGAGACAUUUGCACCAGUUGCACGCCUGGAUACCAUAAGAAUGCUACUAGCAGUUGCAGCUCAAAAAGGUUGGAAAAUCUUUCAACUUGAUGUGAAGUCUGCAUUCUUGAAUGGCUAUCUGUAGGAGGAGAUUUUCGUUGAACAACCAAAGGGAUUUGUUGUAAGAGGAGAAGAAGAAAAGGUUUACUUAUUAAAGAAAGCUUUAUAUGGAUUGAAACAGGCUCCAAGAACCUGGAAUAACAGGAUUGAUGAGCAUUUACUCAAACUUGACUUUAAGAAAAGUUUGAAUGAAUCAACCUUAUACAUCAGAAAUUCAAAUUCUGAUUACAUUGUGGUUUCACUUUAUGUGGAUGAUCUUUUUGUUACAGGAAACAAUCCAAGCAUGAUAAACAAAUUCAAAGCAGAAAUGAUGAAGGUUUUUGAAAUGACAGAUCUCGGUGAAAUGUCUUAUUUUCUUGGAAUGGAAGUGCAACAAAACCAGCAUGGAAUUUUUAUUUGUCAGCAGAAAUAUGCCAAAGAGAUUUUGAAGAAAUUCAAAAUGGAAGAAUGCAAAUCAAUGACUACUCCCAUAAACGUGAAAGAAAAAUUUUGUAAAGAUGAUGGGGCUGAUAAAGUUGAUGAAGCCAUUUACAGAAGCUUGAUUGGAUGUCUGAUGUAUCUCUCUGCUACAAGACCUGAUAUCAUGCAUGCUGUAAGCUUGUUAUCAAGGUUCAUGCAUUGUGCAAGUGAGGUUCACUUCAAGGCUGCGAAAAGAGUUGUGAGAUAUAUCAAAGGUACACUAAGCUAUGGCAUUCAGUUUAGUUGUAUUGAAAAUUUUGAUCUCCAAGGAUAUGCAGACAGUGAUUGGGCUGGCAGUUGUGAUGACAUGAAGAGCACCUCUGGAUAUUGUUUCAGUUUUGGAUCAGGAAUUUUCUCCUGGUGUUCAAAAAAACAAGAGGUAAUUGCUCAAUCAACAGCAGAGGCAGAGUAUGUUGCAGCUACUACAACUGCAAAUCAAGUUUUAUGGCUGAGAAAAAUCUUAGCAGAUUUGGACAUGGAGCAGAAGAAAGCUACUAGGGUCAAUGUUGAUAAUCAGGCUGCAAUUGCAAUAUCCAACAAUCCAAUCUUCCAUGGCAAAACAAAGCAUUUCAAGCUCAAGUAUUAUUUUCUGAGAGAGGUUCAGAAAAAUAAAGAGAUACAACUUAUUUAUUGCAGGACAGAAGACCAGUUUGCUGACAUUUUAACCAAGCCAUUGUCAAAAACAAGGUUUGAAAUAUUAAGAAACAAGAUAGGUGUCUGCAGCAAAAGAUACAAUGAGGAGUGUUAACAGUUGCCUCAUUUGCUGCUGAAGAAGAGGUCUUCGAUGCUGAGAAGACUGAGAAGUUUUAGUCAAGAUUAGCUUUCCAUUAUGUUAGCAUGUUUGUUACAAAUAAAGCUGUUAUAGAACAGCUCUUUGUUUGUUAAGAUUUUGUCAUUAUUUUUCUAUAGUUUGUUAUCAAAACUCUUCUAUAAAAAAGUGAUUUCAUUAAUAAAGAAUUAUGCUUGCAGUCACAAUAACAACAAUUAUUAUAGCUGUCCUAUUUUCUUUGUCUCUAUACUGUUAAACUACUUCAAAACAUAUACCUUUAAAAAUGUGUCUAGAUAUGACUUUGCAUUAUCUAUAUGAUCCAUAAGAGUAUUCACAGCACAUUCCAUGUCAAAUAAAACCUUACAAGGAUAGAAGUCAAUGCACCCUAAACGAAUUUUGUAAAAAUCCAAUUGUUUUAGAAAGAUAAAGUGAGGUGAUUCAGCUCACUUUUGGGAGGUUUUUGGAGACCUUCUUGGGACUGUUGUGAGGUGUCGAAAAACCUGAAUGGUUUGAUCAACCUUUGAUGAAGGUGGUAAUCUCAACUACCAACAAAAGUAAGUAAAGCAAGGCUUACUAGAGGUUGUUUCAAUGGACCGCGCUACAGUUGGUCUAGGCUGUGUGGGAUGGAUGCAUGGUGGUAAUGGUGUGAGGUGGAUUUGUCUGAAUUUCUAUGGUGCUUGGAGUACUUUGUGCGGAGGAGGAGGCUAUCCUAGCUAGGGAUAUCUAAUCCAUUUGGCAUAUCCUAUGGAUAUUCCUUGGGAUAAUUCCAGUAAACUUCUAGAUGAUCAUGUCCGAUACGGUCACCAAAGAUUUUUUCAAAAAUUCUCUAUUUGUAUACCAAAAUAAUGCAUUCAGAUUUCUAACCCAACCAGCAGUCAAAUAAAACAAAUGUCAUAUUACAUCUUCUUAAAUAAACUACUUUUCCUCAAAUAUCAAGUUGUUCCAAGUAUUUUACAUAGUACAAAUAAUGCUAAACAUAAAACCCCCAACACAUCUUUCAAACUUACAAUGUUUAUCCUGCAAAAAAAACCUUGUCAUUAACAUUAAAAUUAUUAACGGCAUAUGGUAUUACCUAGCUAGUUCAAACCUCUCCUCACCUACCUUGAGUUUAAUUAGGGAACAACCUCGAUUUUAAGAGACUAUUUAGAAAUGCGGUCUAAGUACUCGUGUUCCAAAAAAAUUUAAUUUUUUUUGUUUAAAAUUAAUAUUUUUUUAUAUUUUUUUAAUUGUUUUGAUGCGUUGAUAUCAAAAAUAAUUUUUUAAAAAUAAAAAAAAUAUUAUUUUAAUGUAUUUCUAAAUAAAAAAAACUUUAAAAAAUAACCGCAAUUGCACUCUCAAAUACUAUCAAAUCUUGUGUCUUUUUAUUUUUUAAAUGAAUAUUGUCAUUUGACAGCUACGUUUGUUUUACCGAGUCUCAUAUCACAGCUAUAUAUUAGCUAAUGUCAUCUGCAACUAGUGACAUUAUUAAAUAUCUUAUUUUGGGAUCUAUUUUAUGAAUAUGUUUUUUUAAUAUAUUCAUUAACGAAAGCUAACAAAAGAGGUGUAAAUUCAAACAUACAGUAGUUCAACUACUAAAAAUAAUAAAAAUAAAUUCAUGGGAUGUAAAUCAAAACGAUCAAUAGUUCAAGGAGUUUACUAGGAUUUUUCUUUUUUGAUAACCGGGAAGAGACCAUUUCAAAAAGAGAAACAUUGACUUCGAUUGAUUCUUAAAAGACUUUAAUGUAAUCUUGAGCUUGCCUUUGAUCAAUGGAGCAGUUUUCCUAUACGAAAUUAAUUAAGUGCAUGUUCAUAAGAAAAUUUCAACAUUUUCAGGUUAGACCAUUCAACGAAGAAAAUUCCACAAUAUGGCGUGCAAAUUUAGGUUCGGUUUCCGUGCCGACACCACCUAGUUUACAAAAUCAAUGAAGUAUGUUCAACUUGUCAUAUAAAAUCAUUCUCCAGUUAAGAAACUGGAGUGAGUUUUCGUCUCUCUGAGAUUCACAUGUACUAUAUAUAUAUCCCAACGAAACUUUCUAUUGAAACUACACAAUCAUUACCAAACUUUUAGUCUAGAGGUUUGUUAAGAAAGCUGUAGAAAUGUAUAGGGGAAGUUCGUCGCUAAAACACUGCUAAAGAAUUUGUGCAGAAAGUGAAAGCUGUUGCGAUUUACUUGACUUGGACUGGACGCUUUCAUAGAAAUCAAGGUAUGUUCUAAUUCUAAAGCUAUUAUGUUUACCAUUAAUUAUAAUUGUUUGCACGGUUAAUGUUGAUUAUUGGGUUAGGCCUGGUUAUUCAUGAAAGAUGAGCUUGAUUCAAGUAUUUAGAUAAAUACACAUAAACAAACACUAAAUUCAGAAUUUUUUAGUGUACACUACACAAGAUUACAAUUCUCUCUCUAACUCUUCUUAUUAUGUUGAUCACUCCGCCAAUUCAAACACUCAAAAUACAUGCCUAUUUAUAGAAAAUACGACAUUAAAAAGGUCAUUGAUUACAUCGCCUCUUUUACUAUCUUCUUCAUUUUUGAACUAUUACUGCACCUCCUUCAUUAAUGGCUAUUGCAUUCUUAAAUAUUGGUAUAGUUGCCUCCUUCUCUAACAAUGACUCCCACCCACUUCUAGAAAGUAUGGGUUGAUGAUAAGUUAUGAGUCAAGUUUAGUCAACAACUUGCCCCCUUAAACUUGACUUUCUAGGGUUAAUCAAUUUGAGCAUUGUAUUUGGUCUUACAAAUAUAUCAUGCUUGAGGGGCUCCGUGAAAUUAUCUACAAUUUGAUCAUAAGUCCUACAAAAGAUGAACUCCACUUCUUUGUUAUUGACAUGCUCUUUUAUGAAAUGGUAUCAAUAUGUUUGCUUUUCUUAUGAAAUUAAAAACUAGAUUCUUUGCUAAGAUAAUCGCUUAUCAAAAUAUAGAGAUCUGUGAGAUUGUCUUGUGAAAAUCCCGAGUACUUUAGAAUAUUUCUGAUCCAGAUACCAUGAUACUCAACUUCACAUAUGACAACAUUACAAUGGGUUGCUUAUUUGAUGAACAUAUGAAUGAUGUAUCUUUCAUAAAAAAUAUGAAUCCAAUCGUGUUUUUUUUUUCCCUUGUCAAGAUCUCUUCCCUAGUCGCUGUCUGAAUAGCAAAUAAGUCUGCAAUCUUCAGUUUAAUGAAUAGAUGACAUGACAAGUAUCCUCUUUGCUGUAUUCAGAUGGGACUAGUAUGGGGUCUCCAUAUUGUACCUGCUAGCCCAACUCUAGAAAGUAUAUCUGGUAUAGUACAAGUCAAAUACUUCAAGCUUCCAACUAGACUUUUGUCCCGUUUCAACCGUAGUUGUCACAAGAAUACAGUUUUAUAUCCCAAACUUCUUCAAAAUAUCUUUCGCAUAGUUGCUUUGGGAGAUGGAGAUUUCUUUCUUGUUUUGCACAACUUUUAUUCCAAGAAAAUGCAUAAUCUUGCCUAUAUUUAUUAUUUUGAAUUCUUUGAUCAUGCUCUUCUUGAAAGCAUCAAAAUAUUUGGAUUGUUAUCGGUGAAGAUUAAAUCAUCAACAUAUAAAUUGAACAAUUAUAGUACAUGUUCAUUAGGACACUUCUCAAACCCAUUGUUCAUAAAACAGUCAUUGAUCCUGGUAUUCCAUGCACUUAACCCAUAGGCUUUCUUUAGCUUGUACACCAUAUUUUCAUGGCCUUUUUUCACAUAUCCAGUGGUUGAUUAAUAUAGAUUCCUUUUUUAAGAAAGCCAUUAAAAAUGUUGAUUUCAAAUCUAGCUGGUAAAUCUUCCAUCUCUUCUGUGCAACUAGUGAAAUCAACAAUCUAAUGAUCUCAAGUCCAGUAAUUGGGCAAAGACAUCCCCCAUAGUGAAUUCUUUCUUUUUGUUUGUACCUUUUUGCUACAAGCUUAGUCUUGUACCUCUGAACUUCUCCAUGAGCUUUCCUUUUUAUCUUGUAAUGUAGACUAAUAUUUGGUCUAUUGGUUAUGGAAGAGUAGCAAUUCCUGAGAUCGUUCAGAACUUUAGAACUUCUGUGGUUAUUUUCAAUUUUUGAAAUUGUUGGGGGUGUUAAUUAAAUUUUAGAAACAUGAGGAAUUGUUAUAAAAUUUAUGAAAAUUUUGGAUGGCUUUGAAAUAUUUAGUGUCUAUUCUGAAAUUUAUGAAACUUAUAAUUUGGUUGUUUUGCAAUUUCAGAAAUUGGCCGAUCUGGUUUUUUCAGAUUGUCUUCUCCAGCGAAGGUGACUUUUCACGGUGAAACUUCAAGAGGCUCGUCUAGACUCUGUUUGGGCUGAUUAUUGCCUCAUUACAAUCGUCUUGUCAAAUACUUUUCAUUGGUAUAUUCAGAAUACACUUUCAAACAUUAUGAUUUCAGGGUAAAAAAUCAAGAACACCUUCUAUUUUUGCUUCUUAGGCUUUGAUACCAUAGUUAGGUGGAGUGGAUGAUUGAGGUUACUAGUGUUGCACCUCCAUGAGAGAUAAAUACACACAAACAAACACUAAAUUCAGAAUUCUUUCAAACAAUACUCAAGAUUACAAUGCUCUAUCUAACACUCUUUAAUCUCUUGAUCAAUCCACACAUCUAAACUCCCAAACAACAUGCCUAAGUAUAGGAAAACAAAACACUAAGAAACCUCAUUGAUUACAUCAACCCUUCUAUUUUCUUCAUUUUUGUUCUGUUACUGCACCUCCUUCAUUAAUGGCUAUUGCAUUCUUUAAUAUUGGUGGUUGCCUCUUUCUUUCACAAUUACACCCACCCACUUCUAGAAAGUAUAAGCUGAUGAUGUGUUAUGAGUUAAAAAUACUUUUUUGUGACCCGCUCCGACAAAAUACAAAUCAGUGAAAGUAUUAAUCUUCAAAGGCAUAGAUUCAGAAUUAAUAAAGGAAAAAUCAUUCCAUAAAACCAUGCUCAAUAAUGCUUUCAUGAAGGAAAAUUUUCCCAUUAUUUCUUUAUAUUUAAUUUUCAUCCCGAAGGUGAUAAACUAUAAAAAAAAUAAAAUCAACAAUGAUAAAAAUUGAUUAUUUGUUGCAAAAUAAAGAUCGAGUAAAAUGAAUUAUCUCAAUAGAAAACGAUUAAAAUAGUGUUUUUUUUUUAAUUUCUUUUUCGGGGGCUUGUAAAUGAGAAGGAACCUUUUGAAGCCAAUAUAAUUUAAUUGAGCUUGAGUAGCCAUGAAAAAUAUCUGCGUUUAGCCAUUAUAUUGUUGUUUUUGUGAACUUGUGAAAAGACGUGAUUUAAGAGAAUAUUGUUCGAAUUUGAUUUCUUGCGAAUAUUAUUUUGGUAUUUUAGUUUAUUUUUAUCAAUAGUGAUUAAUUAUACGUGCUGGUUCUGAACAGUGCAAGCCAUCAUCUGGGUUCAAGCACAAGAUGGAAAAUGGUGGAACAUCAAGUACUAAUCAGCAGAUGAUUGAUCAGAGCCAUGGAAAUGUUGGCGAAGAGGAAAAUUCACAACUUUCACUUGAUAUUAACAAGUUGGCGAAGUCCUUGAGAGCGGAUAUGGAAAUGUUGCAUUCUUUCUCCGAUCAAUGUUGUAUCUACAGAGUCCCUAUUCGACUACGUGAUUCGAAUGAAAAGAUCUUCACACCUCAAGUAGUAAACCUUGGUCCACUUCACCAUGGAAAAGAAGAGCUUAAAGCAAUGGAGGAGCACAAAAUAUUGUACUUGCA